rnacentral:lncRNA from 1 species
GGAUUGGCUUCAGAGCACUAAGAUAGUGAAAGAUUAGAAAAAAAAAACAAAUAAUAUUGUGGCUGAUUCUGUGAGGCAGGCUUUGUUCUCCUCUAGGAUGAAGUUCAUUUCAGAAAGCAUGCGAGGUUGUCAGCUAAGGAAGGCAAGAGAAGGAUGGCAAUGAAAGAGGAACCGCUGACUGUUUAGGUGGUGGUCACCAGUUUGCUAUCGUUGGAAGACCUCUUCCUGGAGAGCCACUUCAUGGACUCCCCAGUGCUCCUCAGCCUGCAGGAAGCUGUCCUGGACAGUAUUACAGAUGGCUGCUGUGAAGAAUCUGCCCCACCCCUUGUCACAGCUCAGGGAGUCUGCAUGACAAAAGAAUAAUUGAAUUGGUAAUGCAACAGUACAAGACAUAGAUCACCAUUUUGCAAGAGGAAUGUUUAAGUCAUGAAUAAUAAAGUGAUUUCCUCCAGAGUAAUUUAUGGCACAGGUAUAUUAGCAAAGCAAGUUCCUGCGGGUGUCAAUGCACCAUGCUACAGACUCAAGAGAAUUCAGCAAGGUCUCCCAGCUCAUCUAAAUGCCUUUCUUUGUGACUUCCACUUAAGUGUUGUGUUCUCUGCCCUCAGUGGCUCUGGGUCUUACCAUGUGACUGACAAGUUCCCUAAGAUAUCAGCCAUUGUGGAGCAAUCAAUGGCACGGAAAACACAUCCGCAUUGGAGCAUGGCCUCUAUUGUUGGGUGAGAACACUGGGUUAAGAAGCCUGGGGUAGCUUGGUGAGGCCAAGACCAUGCAGCAGAGCUCAGGGCAGACCUGGAAGAGACUCUGACUAGGGUCAGCAGGGGAACCACCCUGCAUGCCCAUCACAUAAGGCAAACUCACAGAUUUGUGAGUAAGUAAUAGAGCCACUAUGGUUCUAAAUUAGGGGUAGAUUGCUCUGCGCAACAAGUAAAUGACAGAAUCUGCCAGCCAUUACUUAUCUAUACUGCAGUUAUUAAUUCUUAGUGGAGGGGGAAUGAAAUUAAUAUGGAUCUUUUUCUUCCCUUUCUUCUUUCGCCUAGCCAUCAAAAGCUAAUUAUUUUUUCAAAGUUUGUAUUUAAUUCUAAAUAUACUUAAAUCUCUGUUACUACUCUGUGCUGUUGAGUGUUCAUUGAGGGCUUUUUUUCUGCUUUUCCAAAGCAGAUAAGAUAAGAGCACUCUGUCACCUGAGCUUCAAGCGAUUUGAGAUAAACUCUGAGAGACACCCCAUAGAAGGAAGCCGGAAGAGUCCCAGCCCCCUGCUUCCACCCUUGCAUCUGGCUCUGCUUGGUCAGCAAAGCUUUGAUGAUGGAGUUCUUCAGCCUGUUCCUAAGUAUGAGAUUUUCUUUCUUAUUGUUUAAGAAAACAGAGUUUAGAUUUUUUUUUUUACUAUAAACUGACAAAUUGUAUUUGUACACAUUUGUGAGGAACAAAUUUAGGAAUAUGAUGCAGAAUAAUUCAACCAACUUAAUGAACACGUCUGUCAUAUUGAAUAUUAAUCAUUUUUGUGACAAGAACAUUUGUAAUUUACUUUUAACAAUCUUGAAAAACACUGUACAUUACCAUUUACUAAAGUUUGCAUUUGUUUGUCAUCCUCUAUGCUCAUUUUGGAUGGCUUCUGAUUGUAUUUUCUAAAUGCUUUAACAUUUUUUGAAAAAAAAAGAAAAUAAAUUCUAAAUGAAUUGAGGAAAAAUACA